rnacentral:rRNA from 1 species
UACGGAGGGUGCAAGCGUUGUCCGGAUUUAUUGGGUUUAAAGGGUACGUAGGCGGCCAAUUAAGUCAGUGGUGAAAGCCAGCAGCUCAACUGUUGAACUGCCAUUGAUACUGAUUGGCUUGAGUUCUGUUAAGGUAGGCGGAAUUGAUGGUGUAGCGGUGAAAUGCAUAGAUACCAUCAGGAACACCGAUUGCGAAGGCAGCUUACUGGGCAGAAACUGACGCUAAUGUACGAAAGCGUGGGGAGCGAACAGG